AGGAAGCACCGGCUAACUCCGUGCCAGCAGCCGCGGUAAUACGGAGGGUGCAAGCGUUGUUCGGAAUUAUUGGGCGUAAAGCGCGUGUAGGCGGAUGAAUAAGUCAGGUGUGAAAUCCCUUGACUCAAUCAAGGAACUGCACUUGAAACUAUUUGUCUCAAGUACGAUAGGGGAGGGCGGAAUUCCCAGUGUAGAGGUGAAAUUCAUAGAUAUUGGGAGGAACACCAGUGGCGAAGGCGACCCUCUGGAUCGAUACUGACGCUGAGACGCGAAAGCGUGGGUAGCAAACAGGAUUAGAUACCCUGGUAGUCCACGCUGUAAACGAUGUGCACUAGGUGUUGGAGGUGCUUAAUCCUUCAGUGCCGCAGCUAACGCA
rnacentral:rRNA from 1 species